UACGAAGGGGGCUAGCGUUGCUCGGAAUCACUGGGCGUAAAGGGUGCGUAGGCGGGUCUUUAAGUCAGGGGUGAAAUCCUGGAGCUCAACUCCAGAACUGCCUUUGAUACUGAAGAUUUUGAGUUCGGGAGAGGUGAGUGGAACUGCGAGUGUAGAGGUGAAAUUCGUAGAUAUUCGCAAGAACACCAGUGGCGAAGGCGGCUCACUGGCCCGAUACUGACGCUGAGGCACGAAAGCGUGGGGAGCAACAGG
rnacentral:rRNA from 1 species